rnacentral:rRNA from 1 species
GAUGAACGCUGGCGGCGUGCCUAAUACAUGCAAGUCGAGCGAACAGACGAGGAGCUUGCUCCUCUGACGUUAGCGGCGGACGGGUGAGUAACACGUGGAUAACCUACCUAUAAGACUGGGAUAACUUCGGGAAACCGGAGCUAAUACCGGAUAACAUGUUGAACCGCAUGGUUCAACAGUGAAAGACGGUCUUGCUGUCACUUAUAGAUGGAUCCGCGCCGCAUUAGCUAGUUGGUAAGGUAACGGCUUACCAAGGCAACGAUGCGUAGCCGACCUGAGAGGGUGAUCGGCCACACUGGAACUGAGACACGGUCCAGACUCCUACGGGAGGCAGCAGUAGGGAAUCUUCCGCAAUGGGCGAAAUCCUGACGGAGCAACGCCGCGUGAGUGAAGAAGGUCUUCGGAUCGUAAAACUCUGUCAUUAGGGAAGAACAAAUGUGUAAGUAACUAUGCACGUCUUGACGGUACCUAAUCAGAAAGCCACGGCUAACUACGUG